CUACGGGUGGCACCAGUGAGGAAUAUUGGUCAAUGGGCGCAAGCCUGAACCAGCCAUCCCGCGUGGAGGAAGACGGCCCUAUGGGUUGUAAACUCCUUUUAUAAGGGAAGAAUAUACGUAUCGUGAUAUGUUUUGACGGUACCUUAUGAAUAAGCAUCGGCUAACUCCGUGCCAGCAGCCGCGGUAAUACGGAGGAUGCAAGCGUUAUCCGGAUUCAUUGGGUUUAAAGGGUGCGCAGGCGGACCAAUAAGUCAGUGGUGAAAUCUUACGGCUCAACCGUGAAACUGCCAUUGAUACUGUCAGUCUUGAGUACGGCUGAGGUAGGCGGAAUGUGUAAUGUAGCGGUGAAAUGCUUAGAUAUUACACAGAACACCAAUUGCGUAGGCAGCUUACUAGACCGUAACUGACGCUGAGGCACGAAAGCGUGGGUAGCGAACAGGAUUAGAUACCCGUGUAGUC
rnacentral:rRNA from 1 species